ACAAACAUUGAGUCUGCAGUUCGAGUGCUUAUGGACUGCAUAAGAACCGAAAAGGAAAGAUCUCACACACCUCAGCAGCACACCUCUGCUCAGCCUUCUGCUAGUGGGAAUACCAGUAUCAGACCUAGACCAGCCACAGUACAGCAGGAGAUGCAAAGAUGUUUCCCGGCAAUAUAUUCUGGAGGUCAGAAGCGAAAAAAAAAGUCAUCAGAUACACCACUUGUUUCUGUGAUAAAGUUCAUAGAGCUGCAGUUUUGCCUGCAACCUGAAAAUUAUGACAAAACACCAAAGGAUGAGGCAGUGCUUUUGCAAGCAGGCCUUGGGAGGAGGAACAUAAAUCUUGCAGAUAAUGCAGAUCACACAGAGAUAAGCCGAGUACUGCUGGAAGAAUACCCCAAAAUGAGAGAUUUGCGUGGUGGUUGGCUGCUUAAAAAAGCUUCAGGUGACCUUUAUUCUCCAUUGUUAUAGAUAUAAACCCUGUUUACACGUACAUGGUUAUUUUGAAAAAUGGAGACAUUUUCCUUUGUUUGCGCCUUUUGUUUACACGCAAACAGAGAAUUUGCCUCUGAAACCGAUUCUUUGUAAAAACUUCGGCCAAAGCGAUAUUUUGAAAACCUUAGUUUGCACGCUUACAUGUAAACUGUUACAAAAGGAUGUUUAGGCGGCCAACGUCAAA